GAUGAACGCUGGCGGCGUGCCUAAUACAUGCAAGUCGAGCGAACGGACGAGAAGCUUGCUUCUCUGAUGUUAGCGGCGGACGGGUGAGUAACACGUGGAUAACCUACCUAUAAGACUGGGAUAACUUCGGGAAACCGUAGCUAAUACCGGAUAAUAUUUUGAACCGCAUGGUUCAAAAGUGAAAGACGGUCUUGCUGUCACUUAUAGAUGGAUCCGCGCUGCAUUAGCUAGUUGGUAAGGUAACGGCUUACCAAGGCAACGAUGCAUAGCCGACCUGAGAGGUUGACCGGCAACCCGGGACCUGAGCACCGUCCCGACCUCCAACGGGAGGAGGAGUAGGGGAACCUUCCGCAUGGGGCGAAGGCCUAACGGAGCACCGCCGCGUGGUUGAUGAAGUUCUCCGGUUCUAAAACCCUGGUUAUAGGGAAAGACAAUAUUUUAAGUUACCUGUGCACUUCUGGACGGUACCUAAUCAGAAAGCCACGGCUAACUACGUG
rnacentral:rRNA from 1 species